GAAUUCGCCCUUAGAGUUUGAUCCUGGCUCAGGAUGAACGCUGGCGGUAUGCUUAACACAUGCAAGUCGAACGGGGUUACCGGAUCGGAGGCUUCGGCCAAAGAGCUGACUAACCUAGUGGCGGACGGGUGAGUAACACGUGAGCAACCAACCUUAUACACAGGAAUAACACUGGGAAACCAGUGCUAAUACCCGAUAUUAUUUAGACAAGGCAUCUUGAUUAAAUGAAAGAUUUAUCGGUAUAAGACGGGCUCGCGUCCGAUUAGCUAGUUGGUAGGGUAAUGGCCUACCAAGGCGACGAUCGGUAGCCGGACUGAGAGGUUGAUCGGCCACAUUGGGACUGAGAACGGCCCAGACUCCUACGGGAGGCAGCAGUGGGGAAUAUUGGGCAAUGGAGGCAACUCUGACCCAGCAAUACCGCGUGAAGGAAGAAGGCCUUCGGGUUGUAAACUUCUUUAGACAGGGAAGAAAGAAAUGACAUUACCUGUAGAAUAAGCCACGGCUAACUACGUGCCAGCAGCCGCGGUAAUACGUAGGUGGCAAGCGUUAUCCGGAAUUACUGGGUGUAAAGGGCGCGUAGGCGGGUGUGCAAGUUAGAUGUGAAAACCUGGAGCUCAACUCCAGACUGGCAUCUAAAACUGUACAUCUUGAGUGUCAGAGGGGAAAGUGGAAUUCCUAGUGGAGCGGUAAAAUGCGUAGAGAUUAGGAGGAACAUCGGUGGCGAAGGCGACUUUCUGGCUGACAACUGACGCUGAGGCGCGAAAGCGUGGGGAGCGAACAGAAGUAGAUACCCUGGUAGUCCACGCCGUAA
rnacentral:rRNA from 1 species